rnacentral:tRNA from 1 species
GCAGUUGUAGCUCAGCAGGAUAGCAUCUGCCUGCCAAGCACAAGGUCCUGAGUUCGAUUCUUGGUACUCCG